ACGAACGCUGGCGGCGUGCUUAACCCAUGCAAGUCGAACGGAAAGGCCCUGCUUUUGUGGGGUGCUCGAGUGGCGAACGGGUGAGUAACACGUGAGUAACCUGCCCUUGACUUUGGGAUAACUUCAGGAAACUGGGGCUAAUACCGGAUAGGAGCUCCUGCUGCAUGGUGGGGGUUGGAAAGUUUCGGCGGUUGGGGAUGGACUCGCGGCUUAUCAGCUUGUUGGUGGGGUAGUGGCUUACCAAGGCUUUGACGGGUAGCCGGCCUGAGAGGGUGACCGGCCACAUUGGGACUGAGAUACGGCCCAGACUCCUACGGGAGGCAGCAGUGGGGAAUAUUGCACAAUGGGCGGAAGCCUGAUGCAGCAACGCCGCGUGCGGGAUGACGGCCUUCGGGUUGUAAUCCGCUUUCGCCUGUGACGAAGCGUGAGUGACGGUAAUGGGUAAAGAAGCACCGGCUAACUACGUG
rnacentral:rRNA from 1 species